rnacentral:SRP_RNA from 1 species
GCCAGGUGUGGUGGUGCACACCUGCAGUCCCAGCUACUCGGGAGGCUGAGGCAGGAGAAUUGCUUGAGCUCAGGAGGUGGAGGUUGCAGUGAGCCGAGAUUGUGCCAUUGCACUCCAGCCUGAGCAGCAAAGCAAGACUCUGUCUCAA